CAGGCUUAACACAUGCAAGUCGAGGGGCAGCAUUUUAGUUUGCUUGCAAACUGAAGAUGGCGACCGGCGCACGGGUGAGUAACACGUAUCCAACCUGCCGAUAACUCCGGAAUAGCCUUUCGAAAGAAAGAUUAAUACCGGAUAGCAUACGAAUAUCGCAUGAUAUUUUUAUUAAAGAAUUUCGGUUAUCGAUGGGGAUGCGUUCCAUUAGUUUGUUGGCGGGGUAACGGCCCACCAAGACUACGAUGGAUAGGGGUUCUGAGAGGAAGGUCCCCCACAUUGGAACUGAGACACGGUCCAAACUCCUACGGGAGGCAGCAGUGAGGAAUAUUGGUCAAUGGGCGAGAGCCUGAACCAGCCAAGUAGCGUGAAGGAUGAAGGCUCUAUGGGUCGUAAACUUCUUUUAUAUGGGAAUAAAGUUUUCCACGUGUGGAAUUUUGUAUGUACCAUAUGAAUAAGGAUCGGCUAACUCCGUGCCAGCAGCCGCGGUAAUACGGAGGAUCCGAGCGUUAUCCGGAUUUAUUGGGUUUAAAGGGAGCGUAGGUGGAUUGUUAAGUCAGUUGUGAAAGUUUGCGGCUCAACCGUAAAAUUGCAGUUGAAACUGGCAGUCUUGAGUACAGUAGAGGUGGGCGGAAUUCGUGGUGUAGCGGUGAAAUGCUUAGAUAUCACGAAGAACUCCGAUUGCGAAGGCAGCUCACUAGACUGUCACUGACACUGAUGCUCGAAAGUGUGGGUAUCAAACAGGAUUAGAUACCCUGGUAGUCCACACAGUAAACGAUGAAUACUCGCUGUUUGCGAUAUACAGUAAGCGGCCAAGCGAAAGCAUUAAGUAUUCCACCUGGGGAGUACGCCGGCAACGGUGAAACUCAAAGGAAUUGACGGGGGCCCGCACAAGCGGAAGAACAUGUGGUUUAAUUCGAUGAUACGCGAGGAACCUUACCCGGGCUUAAAUUGCAACAGAAUAUAUUGGAAACAGUAUAGCCGUAAGGCUGUUGUGAAGGUGCUGCAUGGUUGUCGUCAGCUCGUGCCGUGAGGUGUCGGCUUAAGUGCCAUAACGAGCGCAACCCUUAUCUUUAGUUACUAACAGGUUAUGCUGAGGACUCUAGAGAGACUGCCGUCGUAAGAUGUGAGGAAGGUGGGGAUGACGUCAAAUCAGCACGGCCCUUACGUCCGGGGCUACACACGUGUUACAAUGGGGGGUACAGAAGGCGGCUACCUGGUGACAGGAUGCUAAUCCCAAAAACCUCUCUCAGUUCGGAUCGAAGUCUGCAACCCGACUUCGUGAAGCUGGAUUCGCUAGUAAUCGCGCAUCAGCCAUGGCGCGGUGAAUACGUUCCCGGGCCUUGUACACACCGCCCGUCAAGCCAUGAAAGCCGGGGGUACCUGAAGUACGUAACCGCAAGGAGCGUCCUAGGGUAAAACUGGUAAUUGGGGCUA
rnacentral:rRNA from 1 species